rnacentral:misc_RNA from 1 species
CUUGGUCAUUUCCGGCUUCAGCAGGUCGGCCGGGCGUACGUCGAUCACUUCUUCGCUGCCGAUCGCCUGGCGGCGCAACUGCUCGUUGACCACGCCCGGGGCCUUGCCGUAACCGCCUUGCAGGUACAGCUUCACCUCGUUGGUGAUGGUCUUGUAGCGCUCGCCGGCCA